UGGGGAAUCUUGCGCAAUGGGCGAAAGCCUGACGCAGCGACGCCGCGUGGGGGAGGAAGGUUUUCGGAUCGUAAACCCCUGUUGCCCGGGACGAAUCCCUGGUUUAGACCAGGUUGACGGUACCGGGUGAGGAAGCACCGGCUAACUCCGUGCCAGCAGCCGCGGUAAUACGGAGGGUGCGAGCGUUGUCCGGAAUCACUGGGCGUAAAGGGCGCGUAGGUGGCUUGGUAAGCGUGUGGUGAAAGCUCGGGGCUCAACCCCGAGUCGGCCAUGCGAACUGCCGAGCUUGAGCACUGUAGAGGCAGACGGAAUUCCGGGUGUAGCGGUGGAAUGCGUAGAGAUCCGGAAGAACACCAGUGGCGAAGGCGGUCUGCUGGGCAGUUGCUGACACUGAGGCGCGACAGCGUGGGGAGCAAACA
rnacentral:rRNA from 1 species